CGGUUGAGCUGUCGUCUCCAAAAAAAAAAGCACAGUUUAUUGCCAUGGAAGAAAACUCCAUGGUCGCAACAGAGAUCAACAGCUUAAGCAAACAUUUCACAGAAUUUUGAGCAGAGACCGUCAAAAACAAUACCGGCACCGCUGCUACUGCUCGGAGAUACUGGAGAAAACAUCACCAGAACUGUAAUUUCUAACAAUGGGGUGGGGAAUAGCGAUAUACGAAGGGAUAGUGAUGGUCGGUUCGCUAUGUUUAUUAGGUUGGACCGGUCUCUGGUUCUUGAAUCGGAGAUUGUAUAAAGAGUACGAAGAGAAACGAGUGCUGGUUCAAAUCAUAUUCAGUGUCGUUUUUUCCUUCUCCUGUAAUCUUCUUCAGCUUGUUCUCUUCGAGAUCAUUCCCAUUCUAUCCAAAGAGUCAAGAUGGAUAAACUGGAAAAUUGAUCUGUUCUGUUUGAUUGUAGUAUUGGUUUUUAUGCUGCCUUACUAUCAUUGCUACUUGAUGCUAUGUAACAAUGGUGUAAGGAAGGAACGGGCUGCACUCGGAGCAAUCUUAUUCUUGUUGGCCUUUCUUUAUGCUUUUUGGCGAAUGGGCAUUCACUUUCCUAUGCCUUCUCCUGAUAAAGGUUUCUUCACCAUACCUCAGCUGGUGAGUCGAAUUGGGGUCAUUGGUGUUACUGUCAUGGCUGUCUUAUCUGGUUUUGGAGCUGUGAAUUUACCAUAUAGCUAUUUGUCCCUAUUUAUCAGAGAAAUUGAAGAAUCAGAAGUUAAGGGUUUGGAAAGACAAUUAAUGCAAUCAAUUGAGACUUGUACUGCAAAGAAGAAAAAAAUUAUUCUUUCUCAAAUGGAGAUGGAGCGAAUUCAAGGAUCGGAGGAGACACUGAAAGCUAGAUCAUUCUUUAAGCGGAUUGUUGGAACAGUUGUACGAUCAGUUCAAGAUGACCAAAAGGAGCAAGAUAUUAAAAACUUGGAAGCAGAGGUUCAAGCUUUAGAAGAGCUCUCAAAGCAGCUUUUCUUGGAAAUAUAUGAACUUCGUCAAGCUAAGGAGGCAGCUGCUUAUUCACGAACCUGGAGGGGCCACAUGCAGAAUCUACUUGGCUAUGCAUGCUCUAUCUAUUGUGUAUACAAAAUGCUUAAGUCUUUGCAAAGUGUUAUCUUCAAGGAGGCUGGUUCAGUUGAUCCUGUAACAAGAACUAUUAGCAUAUUCUUACAGUUUUUUGAUAUAGGAAUUGAUGCAGCAUUACUGUCACAGUACAUCUCCCUGUUGUUCAUUGGAAUAUUGGUCGUCAUAUCAGUUCGAGGAUUCUUAACAAAUCUGAUGAAGUUUUUCUUUGCAGUUUCCAGAGUAGGGAGUGGAUCUUCAAGUAAUGUUGUGCUUUUUCUGUCUGAAAUUAUGGGAAUGUAUUUUCUAUCUUCCAUUCUGUUGAUCAGGAAAAGCCUAGCAAAUGAAUACAGGCUGAUUAUAACGGAUGUAUUGGGUGGAGAUAUUCAGUUUGACUUCUAUCACCGAUGGUUUGAUGCCAUUUUUGUAGCAAGUGCUUUCCUUUCGCUGCUUUUGCUUUCUGCACAUUAUACAUCUCGCCAGUCUGAUAAACACCCGAUUGAUUGAAAAUACGGUAUUGCAAAUACUUGUACAAUGUACUACCAUUUCAAGGCCAACGAGUCCAUCAGGUGUUUUCUCAUUGUCAGCUCACGGUAGACAACUUUGCGGGUUAAAGUAUAAUAUGUCAUAGCGCCGCUGAUUGUUAAUUUUAGACAGCUAAUAUUGGUGACUUCAACUAGAGAGUGUAGCUUGACUCAACAUUAAAUGUGAUGUGACAAUCUCAACAUACUGAAUUAAAAUCAUUCAAAUAGGGAAGUUUAAUUAUAAAUUCGGGUAUAAAAAAUGCGGGAUUAGGAUGGUAGCUGAUCGAGUAGUCUUCUUUCUCGUUAUCUGUAAUUCUGUAUGAUGCUUUAUAUUUGCUACUGAUAAUCGCUUUUCUGUUCUUCAA